rnacentral:rRNA from 1 species
ACGAACGCUGGCGGCGGUGCCUAAUACAUAGCAAGUAGAACGACUGAAGGAGGAGGCUUGCUUCUCUGGAUGAGUUGCAACGGGUGAGUAACGACGUAGGUAACCUAGCCUGGUAGCGGGGGAGUAACUAAUUGGAAACGAUAGCUAAUACCGCAUAAUAGCAGUUAUUGCAUGAUAACUGUUUGAAAGGUGCAAUUGCACCACUACCAGAUGGACCUGCGUUGUAUUAGCUAGUUGGUGGGGUAACGGCUCACCAAGGCGACGAUACAUAGCCGACCUGAGAGGGUGAUCGGCCACACUGGGACUGAGACACGGCCCAGACUCCUACGGGAGGCAGCAGUAGGGAAUCUUCGGCAAUGGACGGAAGUCUGACCGAGCAACGCCGCGUGAGUGAAGAAGGUUUUCGGAUCGUAAAGCUCUGUUGUAAGAAAAGAACGAGUGUGAGAGUGGAAAGUUCACACUGUGACGGUAUCUUACCAGAAAGGGACGGCUAACUACGUG